CCAGCAGGCAGGCGCGACCCGCGCACAAACGGCGGCGCAGCAGCAGAUCGCGCUCCGCACCGGACAGGCGGCCGAAGACGGCGGGCUCGCGCAGCACCUCCAGAGGUGAAAGACAGAAUGGAAGGCUGGGAAGAAUUGUGGUACAGCCAGUACUUCUGAAAAGGAGAGGCCAGGGCGCCUCCUCAGGCUCUAUAAUGUUGUGUUUCUCAAAAAACGAAGUAUCAAAGGUUCAACAAUAACAAGUUCAACUUCAGGGGUACAGGAGUCCUUCCCUUUAAGACACUGCCUGUAUGUUUGGAAUAUUUCAGUUUAUAGUUUAAGAUGUUACUCCAUAUUUACAUAGCUACUGUGAUGUAUCAAUAAAGUGUGCUGGUCUACACUAAA